rnacentral:rRNA from 1 species
GGUUAAGUUAGAAAGGGCGCACG